rnacentral:lncRNA from 1 species
GAAAGUAUCUGAGGCGUGAUAGAGGCUGGCACUAGAGAAAAAGUGCCAGACUGAAGAGUAUAUGAAAUUGAUCACCUCAAUGGGGGAGGGGCCCCAGGAGUGAAAUCCAGAAGAGAGAAGACUCUGGCUGGAGAGCAGUGAGGGUCUCUCAGUCUUGAGACAUCCAAGAGAGAAGGUGGAUAAAGACUUUCUCCUGAGGGUUACCCAUUUUCCUGCUGGUGACUGGAAAUUCUUCCCUCCAACACUUCCCAAUUUAAGGGACUUUCUGAAGAGAAACUGAGCAGAUUUUACCUCAGCUCCUGUUGCCCAGGGCUCAUUUUACCACUGAGGAAACUGAGGCAAACAGAGUUGAGUGACGUUUCUGGCCAGGAAGUAUCUGAGACUGUGCCCAUGAGUUGCUCUUCAGCCUGCAACACUCCCAGAUGAGGAAAAUUCAAGGAAGUUAAGCGACUUGCCUGAUGUCACCCAAGUAAUAAGCAUUGGAAGUAAUCAAUGUCCAGAGAAAGCACACCACAGCUGGUGUUCUUUUCCAGUAUUAUUUCCUGGUCUAUAAAGUCAGAGACUUAGAGUAGUUUCCAAGGGGCUAUGCAGCUAUAGAUGUCAUAAGUAUGAUUCCAUUUUGUUUCUGUACAACUUUCUAGAGAAUCACUUGCUAAAUAAAGUAAUCAAACUGCAU